CCCUAUUAAUUUCACCCUCAUAAACUAAACUAAACUAUAAUCAACCACCACAAAUUUAAAGUUAAAAAUUAUGUGAAUGAUUUAUCUACAAUAAAAUAAAUUCAGAAAUACAAAAUACCAACAGAUUUUGAUUUUAUAUUUCUUUUUAUCUGUCUGUCAACUUCAUAGAAGACACCACAUCCUACUCCUUUAGCUUUGCAAAA
rnacentral:lncRNA from 1 species